rfam:Erinaceus europaeus unplaced genomic scaffold scaffold00270, whole genome shotgun sequence
GGAUGUGAGGGCGAUCUGGCUGCGACAUCUGUCACCCCAUUGAUCGCCAGGGUUGAUUCGGCUGAUCUGGCUGGCUAGGCGGGUGUCCCCUUCCUCCCUCACCGCUCCAUGUGCGUCCCUCCCGAAGCUCCACGCUCGGUCAAAGAGGACGGCCUUCCCCGAAUAGAGACGGACCGGUCUUCGGUCGAGGGUAUAUGAGUAGCUGCGCUCCCCUGCUAGAACCUCCAAACAAGCUCUCAAGAUAAAACAGAUCCAAGGAUACUCUUCGUUCCUAGGAUAAGGUCAGGACUUUAGCCAUCUGACUUGGAU